ACCUCAAGUCAACAUAAAUCAUGUACACCGCCUGAUUCAGUCAAUUCAAAGACUUCAUCAAGCAAAUGUGGGAAAGGAUUUAAGCUGUACAUAUCUAGCUAUAUCCAUGACUACGAAGGUUGUUCUCAAAGACUCUAAACCUGUUGAGCUGUUGGCCUAUCAUUGCUCAUGUGUGGCAGGGCUUGCACUAUGCAAUCAUGUUGCAGCUUUGCUCUACCAGACCUCACAUUACAGCCAGCAGGGAGCAAUGGCUGUCCCCCCUACUCACAGCUGCACAGGGUCUGAGCAUCAGUGGCACAAACCUAGAACUCAGGGCUUUAAGCCUGGUCCAACAAAUGAGAUGGUGGUGUUGUCAGCUAGGCCCAAGCAGAGAAGAUUGGCUGAAGGGAUCAGGAGUAACUUGUACAAAGGGGCCUGUGACUGGACCUGUGACCUUCCAGACAUGUCAGUUCUGCAUGUGAAUGAGAUUUACCAAGGAAUGCCAAGGGAAGCUGCUCCACCUAUAACAACAAUGGGAAUAGCAGGGGAUGUACCACUGGUGGAUAGUGCCUUUGGAAAAGUUCAAGAAGGGAGUGUUCUCUCCUAUCACCUUCCAGCAUGGAGUCCACCAAAAACUUGCCCACAUACCACCACACCACCACGACCAUCCUUACCCCUUUAUGGCUACUGUCUGGGUCCCUUAGAGUGCUGUUUUGUGUUAAGCUACCAUCAGCAGCUGCACAUGAAUUCUCUAGCAACAUCAGAGGUCAUGGCGCACCAAAUUGAGAAAAGCACAAGACAGCAAAGCAUGCUGAAGGAAUGGCAUCAAUUAAGAAAGCCGUGUGUGACUUCCUCUAGAUUCAGAGAGGUUUGCCAUGUGAGAGGACAGUCCUCAGCAGAGAGCCUGGCACUGAGAAUUUUGCGGCCAGGCUAUCAGAGAGGAGAAAUGAAGAGGGGCCUUCAGAUGGAGCCCAAAGCAGUAGAGGAAUACUGCUUUGUUAAGGAGGUCACCAAAACCGGCCGGAUCCAGCUCCUUUCCUGCUUGGUAUCGGACUCCACUGCUACGUGUCUCUGAGUGAUGAUGACAAAUUACAGCCCGUGCCAGCCAGACAUCACUUCAGUCUGUAAUAAUUUAAUUUACAAUUAGUGCUUUGGUAGAAAGAGAUCUAAUGUUUAGUAGCCCUACCUUUAUAUGAGGUGUGGUGGUGGUGUAGUGGGCUUAAGCACAUAACUGGUAAUCAGAUUGCUGGUUCAAUCCCCACAGCCGCCACCAUUGUGUCCUUGAGCAAGGCACUUAACUCCAGGUUGCUCCAGGGGAAUUAUCCCUGUAAUAAGGGCACUGUAAGUCGCUUUGGAUAAAAGCGUCUGCCAAAUGCAUAAAUGUAAAUGUAAAUAUGAUUUUUAUCUUUAAUUGUUUUGUUUUUUUUUCAAGUUUGUCCUUAAUUUUUUUUAAUGAUUUAGUGAGAGUUUUGUGUUUGGUAGUUCGGGGAACAGACACAGUCUCUAUAUGAUAUCUAGGUGAUACAGUCUCUAUGUGUUGUAGUUUAUGUGACCUGUGUGACAUCUCAAGCUAGCAGACGUUUGGAUUAGCCAGUUUGUCUGCUUCCUGACCUGCACCCCAGUUAGUCAAAUACAAUCACUAUUAAGACUAUGAGCCAAAUUACUAGAGAGGAGAGUGGCACCUUCCCUGGAGGGAUGGAGUCUGUCUCUCUUUAGCAGGUCAGGUCUACCCCAAAAACUCUUCCAAUUGUCUAUAAAUCCUAUGCUAUUCUCUGGACACCACUCAGCCGUUCAGUGACACUAAUCUACUAUAAACCUCAUCACCACGAUGAGCAGGGAGGGGGCCAGAGCAUCUUACAGUGUCUGAUAUAGUUUUUGCAAGUUCACACACCUCUUUAACAUUAUCUUUAGUGAUCUCAGACUGGUGAAGUCGGACAUCGUAAGUGCCGACAUGAACAACAAUCUUAGAAAAUCUACGUUUAGCAUUAGCCAGCACUUGUAAAUUUGAUCUGAUGUCAGACGCUCGAGCCCCCAAAAUGCAUUUAACAAUGUUGGCUGGAGUCUCUAUUUUCACAUUCCUUACAAUAGAAUCACCUAUGACUAGGGUGUUUCCAACAUGAUUCUCAGUGGGUGCAUCAUUGAGUGGGGAGAAUCGAUUGGAAAUCCUAACAGGAACGGGAGAGUGGUGUCACUUUGCUAUACGAGUAUGGUGCCAAGAUGUAACCCAAACGCCCUGCUGCAGGGGCUCUACAGCCGGAACCAAAGUCUGUGUGUUACUCGCUGUUCUACCCGCAUCCGAAACAGUAUCUACCAGCUUCUCAGUCUCACUGACUUCCACUAGCAUUCGGAUUCAUGUCUCUAACUCAUUAACCUUCUCCAUCAGCCUGACUAAUUCCUUACAUUUAUCACAUGUAAGUCUCACUGACCUCCACUAGCAUUCGGAUUCAUGUCUCUAACUCAUUAAUCUUCUCCGUCAGCCUGACUAAUUCCUUACAUUUAUCACAUGUAAAUCCCUCACUGCUCAGGGGACCUGGGUAGCUCAGUAAGUAAAGAUGCUGACUACCACACCUGGAGUCACAAGUUCAAAUCCAGGGAGUGCUGAGUGACUCCAGUCAGGCUUCCUAAGCAACCAGUUGGCCUGGUUACUAGGGAGGGUAGAGUCAUGUUGGGUUAACCUCCUCAAGGUCGCCAUAAUGCCAUGGCUUACCGCAAUUGUUAGUUAUGGUGGUGGUUCUUAACCAGCAGGGGGUUUGAGAUCAAUACAAUAAUCCAUGUAAAACACAGAGGAGAGAAUGGGUGAGUGCAGUCAGAACGGGUGAGCGCAGUACUCAAACAUUACUGUCUCUUUAAGAAUAGGGUCUGCUCAAUUUUUUGUUUUGGUUGAGUGAAUACUUUUACUCUGAACACACAGUGAAAAGAUCUCGCUGAUGAACUUCGCAUAUUAAAAGAAUGAUGUUGGGAUUUUGAAAAUUGAAAAUUGCAAUUACUCAUAAAAUCUAGAUUUUUACCCAGAACUUAUCCUUAUUAUUUUCGUUUUAAGUCAUACAUUUUGUUUUUAUAGGUAAAACAAAGAAAAAUCUACUCAUUUUCAUGAACCCCGUGGAUGAUGCUUAUGUACAGCUUGUUGGAAAUCACUAAAUAGUCAAUAUAACAGCUCCAGUGACUUAUUUAGAUGCCAGACAGUUAUUACAUUAUUAUUACUUGUAGUAUAGACUCAGUAUAAAACAGGUUGGAAUAAUACGUGAUUUGAAUAGGGUUAGCUGAGGAUAUUAAUAAACUGUGAAUCAACAGUAAAUCUAUGAGAACUGCUCACACAAAACAUGUGGAACAGAGAAUUAAACAAAACACAGAAUGACAAUGAACAGAACACUGACACACACACACACACACACACACACACACACAAACAAGAAUACAUGUGAUAAUGGUCAAAAGCAAACACAGAUUUAAAUGUGAUCAUGUAGUUCACAGGAGGUAAAGACACACGAGUGGCUGCAGGUGGUAAAAACAAUCAUUCAUUCACAUUCUCACUGAAGCCAAAUACUCCAUCAUGAAAUAUUGGCAAACAUUCAUCCACAUGAGAAUGGUUUAAACUCACUUCAGUUCUCUAGAGUGUCAGUUAAGUCUCAAGAGCUGUUGAGCAAUCACUGCCUUCUAUACAAUGAGCCAAAUGUAAAUAAAUACUGCCAUCACUGAAACACACUUGUAAAAGUAAUAGUCCGAAUAGAGCUGCAAAACCACAAAUGUUUCUUUAGUUAUAUUUAAUCUGAAGAGACUUACAGUCGUAUAAUAAUAGCACAUAUUUACUCAAAGCGGUUUCUGUAAUAUUUCACCAAUUCUGUCAUCAUUUACUCACUUUCAUGUUGUUCCAAACCCAUAUGACUUUUUUCUGUGAAACACAAAAGCUGAAUAUUUUGUGCUUGUUUCCAUAUAAUGAAAGUAAAAGGAAACUGAAUCUGUCAAGCACCAAAAUGACACAGAACAGUAGUACUUCAAAUUUGUGCACUAUAUUUCAAGUCUUCUAAAGUCAUAUGAGAGCUUUAUGUGAGGAACAAACCCAAAUUUAAGUCAUAAUUCACUGAAAAUCUUCUACUCUGACGAAGCUCUGAAAUAGACUACAAAACUUAUAUGAACUACAAACAUGAUAAAUUGAAACAAAACACCACAAGCACCAUUUUUGAUUUGAGAAUACACUUUAAGUCUCGCAGACUAGAUGAGGGUGAGUGAAUGAUGUCUAUUCUGCAGUACAGAGUCAUAUAUGAUGACAGUAAUCUAAUGUGUGACGUUGAAAUGGAAAUAAAAACUGCAGCACUCAAACGCCACAAACCUCCAACAAUCAGAGGAAGAACGAUUUCAAACAGUCUGUCUACUGACUCAUAAAAACAACACAAACAUGAAUCAUGCCGGAAUAAUGAUGGAAAACCCCAUCAGGAUAGGAAGAGUCACAUGACAGGAAGCACUAAAGGAUUCAACGCUUCGCUCACACAACUUCCUGUUGCUGUAAUUAUCACGUCACGAUGACCUCUGCAGUAUGUGUCAUUUGUGCUUCAAAUACUCUUUAGGAAACUUUUAGGAAGUUUGAUCCUCUCAGAUUAUUAAUGUGACUCAUGUUUCCGCCACUGACCUCUUCUCCACACCCAACAUUCCCAAAGAUCCCAGAACGAGAACGCGCCGAUCCAAAACAAAUCCACAGUCUAUAGAUUCCCCCUGAUGAGGAUGUUAGUGAAAUAAUUAAUCAGAGCGACAUGAAUAACAGGAUGUAAAGCGAUGUGAAUGUUUAAUUCGCAGUGACAUGAGAAAUGAUGUGCAGAAUGUUCCUUGUUUCUCUACAAACAUACUUUCGUCUAACUGCACAAGUCUUUAACACAAUGACAAGUUUGACAAAGAAUGAUUUCACGAAUAAUAAAAUCAUUGUGUAGUAUUAGUUUGUUAGAGAGACGUGUAUAGCUUCCACUUCAUUUUCACUUGAAACAGAAACACUUUUACAUACUGCAGCUCAGUCUCCAUAAACAAGAUGAAAUAUGUGUGUAUUCAUCUAAUUAUGUUUGAUUUGAUUUCAUGCAUUAGUCCUCAUGUUUCUUCACACACAACAGGAACAAGACCAAACUACAUUCUUACAUGUUCUGAAGAAAAUGAGAGUGUUAUGUACUGUGAUGAUGAGUGUUGUUAUGAGGUUGUUUUAUGGUAUUCAUGGUAUAUUAAAUAUACUACAUUAAAAUGUGUAAAUUUUUAAUAUACCAGCAAAUAUAUAAUUAUCAAUAGUAGUUUUUAAAAGUCAAAUGUCUUAACUGUUUAUGCAUUUACCUUUACUGCUUGUAAUUAAUUAUUUUUCAUAUACUUUUGUGUUAAAUUGUGUUGUAAAUUGAGAACUUCCACUUACUGUCUAAAGAGAAAAACGUGGUGAAAUUUUGCAACCCUAAAUACAAUUUUGCAUCGAUUUUCCAAACAUUUCCUCAAAACAAAAUAUGUAUAAAAAUCAUUUUUACAACCAGUGUCUUUACAAAAACAUUUCAAAGAGUAGACAUGUUUGAGUCUCUGAGAGUGAAACAGAACGCUGAACCAAACAUGAACAACAUGAAAACAAGUACAAAACACAAUAAAUCAAGUAAAACACUGGAGCAACAUUCACACAAGCGUUUCAUGCAAACAAACAGAUUAUUUCAUAUCAAACUACAAACACAAUCUGAGGAAUUAUUAUGAUAUAGAUUAAUUUUCUGCCAGUCGAACACAUUAUUGGGCAUAAAACCUGAUGUGUGAUUGAAUAAAAUCAAACAACUUCAUAGUCUUGUCAGAUCCCUUUAAACAAGGUCAGGACCUGUGAUUUUAAAUACAUUGUUCAGUGUGUUAUUUAAGGUUUCAUGUAGAGUCAGCUGAUCAUUAUCACAAAAUAAACUCCGACAGGAUCAUCAGUGUGGAGAACUCCUGUUUCACCCUGAAUGGGAUUAUUUAAUGCAAUAAGGCACUCGAGGCUGUCCAAUAUUGUGAAUAUAGGUCACGGCUGAAGGGUGUUGUUAGGCACGACAUGAAGUGGAGUAACCCAUUCAGCCGUGACUAUAUUCACAAUAUUGGACAGCCUUGAGUGCUUUAUUGCUGUUAUAAAAUGGUUACCUUGUAAUAAAAAUAUUAAUGACACAAAUGUUUAUUAAAAUCACUUAAUGUCAUCCUUCCACUAGAAGAAAUAGUCCCUGACAGUAAACAGUGAACAGAAUGUUGCUAGGCAACAAGAAUAACUGUCAGGUGCUGCGGAGUGAUACAAAUAGAUGUUCUGUGAAGAGGUUAGAGCUGUGAUUUAUCAUGAAUAAAACACGGCUGUUGACCAAUCAGCAUCAAGGACCGGAACUAUCUGUUUUCUAAUUUGUGAUAAUGGCUGUCAUUAUUUGUAUAUCGCUUUUCACAACACACAUCAUUUCAAAGCAGCUUUACAGGAAAUCAUGCAUUAACAGAAAAUGAAACUGUAAUAUCUAUAAAAUAUUAGUCAUCAUUUUGUAGCUUCAUUAAAUAUGAUUGUCAAUUGUGUAUAAAAUUAAGUAAUUAAAUAAUAAUUGUAUUUAUAACCCCACUGUGCAAGCUGAAGGUGACUGUGGCAAGGAACACAAAACUCCAUAAGAUGUUGAUUAAUGGAGAAAAAUAACCUUGAGAAAAACCAGACUCACUGUGGGGGUCAGUUCCCCUCUGACUAAACAACAUGAAUAUUAUGACAAUAUUAGUUAUUUAUGUAUAGUGCAAGACAUGGUUUAAAAUGAGUAAACUAAGUAAGUGUUAAGGGUCAGUGUUUAAACAAAGAUUUUGUAUGAACUGUAAGAUUAAUGACUAAUGAAGUUCAUCCUGGAUUAACUGCAGAAGUUCACACUGAUGCAUUGUGCUUUGUUAGUUGGCUGAUGAAGACUUUUAUGGGCAAUUAAUUGAUAGUCUAUGUAUUCCAUUAUAAGAGUGUAGUCCAUCAUUAGACAAAGGUGAUGCAGGCAGAGAUCAAUGAGGUGCCUCACAGUUCAACCGGCCGGUCAUUUCGGUGAGGUUCGGUGAGGUCUAUCCUAUGUCCAAGGUUCAGGCGGCGGCAUAUGAAGUAUCCCAUGUCCCAUCCCAGGUUCUGACAGACCUAACUAAAGCAGCCUAAUUGUGAGUUUAUGGAUAAAUUAUGUGUAUGUCUGGCUAAAUAGAUGAGUCUUUAGUCUAGACUUAAACUGAGUGAGUGUGUCUGCAUCCCGAACAGUGUUAGGGAGACUAUUCCAUAGUUUAGGAGGCAAAUAGGAAAAGGAUCUACCUGUGGAUUUUAAUAUUCUAGGAUCUAUUAACAGGCCAGAAUUUUGUGAUCGUAAUGAACGUGAUGGAAUAUAGCAUGUCAGAAGGUCACUUAAGUACUGUGGAGCUAGACCAUUCAAAGCUUUGUAUGUACUUAACAGAAUUUUAAAAUUAAUAUGAAAUUUAACAGGUAGCCAAUAUAACGAUGAUAAAAUGGGGCUAAUAUGAUCAUAUUUCUUGGUUCUCGUCAGCACUCUGUCUGCUGCAGUUUGAACCAAUUGAAGUUUAUUUAUUGAUCUUGCUGGACAUCCUCCCAGUAAUGCAUUACAAUAAUCUAAUCUUGAGGUCAUGAACGCAUGAAUUAGUUUUUCAGCAUCAGCAACAGAGAGCAUGUGUCGUAAUUUAACAAUAUUUCUGAGGUGGAAGAAUGCUGUUCUACAAACAUUGGAAAUUUGAUUUUCAAAGGACAGAUUGGUAUCAAAUAUAACACAUAAGUUCUCCGCUGUAGAAGAUGAUGUAUCAGUACAUCCAUCGAGAGUCAAAUUAUAUUUUAGCGGCUUAUUUUUAGAGGUUUUUGGUCCAAUAGUUAGUACCUCUGUUUUGUCAGAAUUGAGUACAAGGACAUUUCUGGCCAUCCAGUCUUUGAUUUCAUUGACACACUCUGUUAAUUUGGAGAAUUGUGAAUUUUUGUUGGGUUUAGAAGAAAUAUAAAGUUGGGUAUCACCGGCAUAACAGUGGAAACUUAUUCUAUGAUUCCAGAUAACAAUUAUUCACACUAUAAAAGACAGUUGUAACAUUAAAGUUUCAAAACUUUAUUUUCUUUUGUUGUCUUGUUUCUUGUGUGGUUUAUUAAUAACA